GAUGAAGAACGCAGCGAAAUGCGAUAAGUAAUGUGAAUUGCAGAAUUCAGUGAAUCAUCGAAUCUUUGAACGCACAUUGCGCCCGUCAGUAUUCUGGCGGGCAUGCCUGUUCGAGCGUCAUUACGCCCCUCAAGUCCCCUGUGGACUUUGUGUUGGGGAUCGGCGAGGCUGGUUUUCCAGCACAGCCGUCCCUUAAAUUAAUUGGCGGUCUCGCCGUGGCCCUCCUCUGCGCAGUAGUAAAACACUCGCAACAGGAGCCCGGCGCGGUCCACUGCCGUAAAACCCCCCAACUUUUUAUAGUUGACCUCGAAUCAGGUAGGACUACCCGCUGAACUUAAGCAUAUCAAUAAGCGGAGGA
rnacentral:misc_RNA from 1 species